AUGUAUGGUGUCAGACUGUCAGCUAUCUCGGCACCUGCUAGAACUUUCCACACUGCUUGGGUCAACUUGACCCCUUGAACAUCUCCACACACCGCAAACACAAACAGUUUUUAAUACGAGGAAGCAAGUUGCAGAACCUGUAAGGGAUCAUCAAUAAACUAAGGGAAAAUACAAGUUGCAAGUAUAAAGCAUCAAGGAAAUGGGAUAUGUAUUAGUAAUAUCGUUUCCGGUGAUCCUCUUCCUCUUGAUUUUAGCCAUAGCAUGUUAUCUUCUUGGUAGGGCUCGGGGUCGACAACAAUCUGCUCCUCAAUAUUAUGGGCCUCCUGUUCCUGCUCCUCCACCUUCUGUUCUGCAUUUUCAAGCUCCCGGUGAUUCUAAAUAGUCUCAAUUAAAUCAUGUGACCAGUAUUGUGCUCUCUUGUGCUUCUGAACUAUACAUAAUACCUUAGAUAUAUUGUUAAAUGUUAGUUUAUUUGAAAUUAUAGAGGAUGCUUGUUUUCUGUUUAUUGUUUGUUUAACCUGUAUAGUAUACAAUUAGUACUUCUAUAAAGUGAAAGAAACAUAUUUUACCUUGAUUUAA